GUCGUGAGAUGUUGGGUUAAGUCCCGCAACGAGCGCAACCCCUAUCCCAUGUUGCCAGCGGAUUAUGCCGGGGACUCGUGGGAGACUGCCGGUGCCAAACCGGAGGAAGGUGGGGAUGACGUCAAGUCAUCAUGCCCCUUACGUCCAGGGCUGCACACAUGCUACAAUGGCCGGUACAAAGGGUUGCUACUUCGCGAGAAGACGCCAAUCCCAGAAAGCCGGUCUCAGUUCGGAUCGCAGUCUGCAACUCGACUGCGUGAAGUCGGAGUCGCUAGUAAUCGCAGAUCAGCAUUGCUGCGGUGAAUACGUUCCCGGGCCUUGUACACACCGCCCGUCACACCACGAAAGUUGGUAACACCCGAAGCCGGUGGCCCAACCCUUGGGAGGGAGCCGUCGAAGGUGGGAUCAGCGAUUGGGGUGAAGUCGUAACAAGGUAGCCGUACCGGAAGGUGCGGCUGGAUCACCUCCUUUCUAAGGAGCACACUGCUCGAGGCCCGGCUUCGUCUCCGGGUAUCGGGAAGCUCCCACGUCGAUCACUGGCUAGUCGGCCGUCCGGAUCAUGUCCGACCCUGCGCUGCUUCGUGCACGCGGCACCACCGGUCACCCGUACGAUCAGACGUCACUGUUCCGUUUUGAGGGAGUCGCUGCGCGUUCCAGCGCGCGUCUUCCGGGAAAUGCGCACGCGUCACGUGUGCUGCGUCCCGACAUGAGCCACCCGGCCCUCGCGGUCGAGCCAUCGUGUCGCGUGUCCCUUGAGAACUGCAGAGCGAGCACGAGCAUCUUUAUCGUGAACAGAAGAAGUAUCCCAAGCUACAAAGAGCCAACGGUGGAUGCCUUGGCGCCAGAUGCCGAUGAAGGACGUGGAAGGCUGCGAAAAGCCACGGGGAGCUGCCUAUCAAGCUUCGAUCCGUGGAUCU
rnacentral:sRNA from 1 species